AACGUAGGUGGCAAGCGUUAUCCGGAUUUACUGGGCGUAAAGCGUGUGCAGGCGGGGGGACAAGUGGGGUGUGAAAUUUCCCAGCUUAACUGGGAAGGGUUAUGCCAGACUGUACUUCUGGAGUGCGAGAGAGGGGCGUGGAAUUCCGGGUGUAGUGGUGAAAUUCGUAGAUAUCGGGAGGAACACCAGAGGCGCUGGCGGCGUCCUUGAAGGUGACUGACACUGAGAAGCGAAAGCGUGGGUAGCAAACAGG
rnacentral:rRNA from 1 species